GUGAGCGUAGCUCAGCCGGUUAGAGCACUGGGUUGUGGUCCCAGGGGUCGAGGGUUCGAAUCCCUUCGCUCACCCCA
rnacentral:tRNA from 1 species